UUCAUCAAAUGAUGAGAUCAGAAAAAUCUUAGGACACCUUCCUACACAGUUGGAUUCAACUGUGGAUGAGAAAGACUUUUCAUUUCUGAUGAUGAA